GCUGGGCGCGUUAGCACGCCCAUCCAAGAAUCAAGGGAUGAGCCCAAUGGAGAGUAAGCUGGUCUAAGACCACCCCUGAUUUACAACCAGCCUGCGGUCGAGCUGAUCUACGAGCACUCUCUCCCGGUGGUCGAGCUGAUCUACGAGCACUCUCUCCCGGUGGUCGAGCUGAUCGUAGAGCACCGUUGCCUUGACUCUGUUAGGGGCGCAUCCGGCUUCUUGCUUGCUGGGCAUGCUGAAAAAUGGAUGCGCGCUAGCGCGCGCCCUGUAGUUUUCUUCGCUCCGGAGUUUGCUCUUGAGCGCACUCCGGCUUGAAAGCCUUCGUUUGCUCCGUUUGCUGGGUCUCGGACCGGAGUUUGCAGGCUGUGUUGCCUACGUUUGCUGGCUUAACAGCAGCGAGCUCCGCUUUCAGAAGCGAGCCAGAGUAGCGCGCUAGCGCGCCUUCCCUCCUUCUCUCACUUCGGAAAGAUUUAGCAGUAUUUUCUUAUGAUGACCUGGUCGAGAGAGUACGAUACAUCGGUGUAAAAGAUUGAGUGGGAUCUGUGAGGUUGGUUAUUGUAAGGCCUGGCCUGAAGUGCGCGGCUUACGAAAAGGUAAGCGGUUAGGUUGACUUUGCCCCCAUUUUUUGCUUUUUCUGAAUCUGAAUCUAAUCCCAUUUUUAUUCUCCGCGGGAUCUCUGUUUCCCAGCCACUAAGGUUCCGUUCGGUCCUCUUCCCCAUGGGUAUGGUAUAUGAACGUGAGAGCAGAGCAGGAAGUUAUAGCAUAAGAAAUCCUUCUAUUCCAAUAGGCCGAGUGAACUGCAUGUGUCCUGCCUCCGGGGAAUCACGCCUAUCGAAUGAAUGAUUGAAGAAAGAAAUGCACUUUGUCCAGAGUUCGUUUUUCGACACGCCUUUUAGCUUAGCUCGUAGUGGAGCAAAAAAAAGCCAUUUUGCUUCUUCGGAUUCUUUUUUUAAGGCGCGCGCGAGAAAGAGAAGGCGCUCCUAUUUCAGACUUUAGAUAUGCCUUACCAUUGAACCAUUGAAAGUGCACGCCCACUUCCGUUUCCUUGCAAUGAGCUUCCUCCAGGGGGCAUUCUCCACAAACUGAGUGUUUCCAGAGAUUGAUUUUGUCCCCUGUUCCAGGAACCCAGGUGGUGAUUGAAUUAGAUUCAAUGUUUUAAUCAUUCCCAUCCACCCGGCCGGGAAAGAAAGGUUUCUCCUAUUUUCUGAGCUUUUAUAUUCUCUUUCAUUCUUCGAAAGGUUUUUCUCUACCAUUACCAUAAAGCGAUUUCUGCCCACAGAGUCGAAGAUGUUAGAGUUCUCCAUCAUUGUUUAGCUCUGAGCAUUCGGCUGACACUCCCACCGCGACACCCGGUUGGCACUCACAAAGUGCCAACCGGGUGCAGCUGAACUAGAGGCGUUGUUGAAGGAGUCGUUGAAUAUUGUAUACCCCGACUGUUUCAGAGGAGCGCAAUUUGACUCGAUUCAAUCAUUCCUGCCUUCCUGUUGCAUUUUCAUUCAUUAUGCACCUCUAAUCAGUAUAUAUUUUAUAGAGAGAACUACUUCCUUAGCUGAUCUUCAUCUCUAAUAGAUCUUCCAAUCUAUAUUCUUUUUCGGACUUCUACAGUCGCAUCGGGCGAUUGAUAAAAGU